UACGUAGGGUGCAAGCGUUGUCCGGAAUUAUUGGGCGUAAAGAGCUCGUAGGCGGUCUGUCGCGUCUGCUGUGAAAACUCGGGCUUAACCCCGGGCCUGCAGUGGGUACGGGCAGACUAGAGUGCGGUAGGGGAGACUGGAAUUCCUGGUGUAGCGGUGAAAUGCGCAGAUAUUAGGAAGAACACCAGUGGCGAAGGCGGCUCACUGGCCCGGUACUGACGCUGAGGCGCGAAAGCGUGGGGAGCAAACAGG
rnacentral:rRNA from 1 species